rnacentral:rRNA from 1 species
CAGUCGAGGGGCAGCAUGAUUGAAGCUUGCUUCAUCGAUGGCGACCGGCGCACGGGUGAGUAACACGUAUCCAACCUGCCGAUAACUCGGGGAUAGCCUUUCGAAAGAAAGAUUAAUACCCGAUAGCAUAGUAUUUCCGCAUGGUUUCACUAUUAAAGAACUUCGGUUAUCGAUGGGGAUGCGUUCCAUUAGAUAGUUGGCGGGGUAACGGCCCACCAAGUCAACGAUGGAUAGGGGUUCUGAGAGGAAGGUCCCCCACAUUGGAACUGAGACACGGUCCAAACUCCUACGGGAGGCAGCAGUGAGGAAUAUUGGUCAAUGGUCGAGAGUCUGAACCAGCCAAGUAGCGUGAAGGAUGACUGCCCUAUGGGUUGUAAACUUCUUUUAUACGGGAAUAAAGUGGAGUAUGCAUACUCCUUUGUAUGUACCGUAUGAAUAAGGAUCGGCUAACUCCGUGCCAGCAGCCGCGGUAAUACGGAGGAUCCGAGCGUUAUCCGGAUUUAUUGGGUUUAAAGGGAGC